rnacentral:tRNA from 1 species
GGGGCUGUAGCUCAAUUUGGGAGAGCGCUUCAAUGGCAUUGAAGAGGUAGUGGGUUCGAAUCCCAUCAGCUCCACCA